rnacentral:rRNA from 1 species
UACGUAGGGGGCGAGCGUUGUCCGGAUUUAUUGGGCGUAAAGCGUGGGCAGGCGGCCCCGUAAGUCGGCCGUGAAAGCGCCGGGCUCAACUCGGCGAGGACGGGCGAGACUGCAGGGCUGGAGAGAGGCAGAGGGCGGUGGAAUUCCGGGUGUAGUGGUGGAAUGCGUAGAGCUCCGGAGGAACACCAGUGGCGAAGGCGGCCGCCUGGGCCUUUUCUGACGCUGAGCCGCGAAAGCGUGGGGAGCGAGCCGG